rnacentral:rRNA from 1 species
ACACAUGCAAGUCGAACGAGCGAGAGAGAGCUUGCUUUCUCAAGCGAGUGGCGAACGGGUGAGUAACGCGUGAGGAACCUGCCUCAAAGAGGGGGACAACAGUUGGAAACGACUGCUAAUACCGCAUAAGCCCACAGGUCGGCAUCGACCAGAGGGAAAAGGAGCAAUCCGCUUUGAGAUGGCCUCGCGUCCGAUUAGCUAGUUGGUGAGGUAAUGGCCCACCAAGGCGACGAUCGGUAGCCGGACUGAGAGGUUGAACGGCCACAUUGGGACUGAGACACGGCCCAGACUCCUACGGGAGGCAGCAGUGGGGAAUAUUGCACAAUGGGGGAAACCCUGAUGCAGCGACGCCGCGUGGAGGAAGAAGGUCUUCGGAUUGUAAACUCCUGUUGUUGAGGAAGAUAAUGACGGUACUCAACAAGGAAGUGACGGCUAACUACGUGCCAGCAGCCGCGGUAAAACGUAGGUCACAAGCGUUGUCCGGAAUUACUGGGUGUAAAGGGAGCGCAGGCGGGAAGACAAGUUGGAAGUGAAAUCUAUGGGCUCAACCCAUAAACUGCUUUCAAAACUGUUUUUCUUGAGUAGUGCAGAGGUAGGCGGAAUUCCCGGUGUAGCGGUGGAAUGCGUAGAUAUCGGGAGGAACACCAGUGGCGAAGGCGGCCUACUGGGCACCAACUGACGCUGAGGCUCGAAAGUGUGGGUAGCAAACAGGAUUAGAUACCCUGGUAGUCCACACCGUAAACGGUGAUUACUAGGUGUUGGAGGAUUGACCCCUUCAGUGCCGCAGUUAACACAAUAA